rnacentral:ncRNA from 1 species
GGCGCGUGACUUGCUAGGAACACACACAGAGCAGUCAACGCUGAUUGCCCAUUCACGACAAAGGCGCCGU